rnacentral:tRNA from 1 species
GCGGGGGUCGCCUAGCCUGGUCGAUGGCGCUGGCUUCAGGAGCCAGUGGCUUAGUGCCUUCCUGGGUUCAAAUCCCAGCCCCCGCA